UACGUAGGGUGCGAGCGUUAAUCGGAAUUACUGGGCGUAAAGUGUGCGCAGGCGGCCGCGCAAGUCGAGUGUGAAAGCCCCGAGCUUAACUUGGGAAUUGCGCUCGAAACUACGUGGCUGGAGUGUGGCAGAGGAAGGUGGAAUUCCACGUGUAGCGGUGAAAUGCGUAGAGAUCGGGAGGAAUACCAGUGGCGAAGGCGGCUGCCUGGCCUGUUCUUGACGCUGAGGCGCGAAAGCUAGGGGAGCAAACGGG
rnacentral:rRNA from 1 species